AGCAGCCGCGGUAAUUCCAGCUCCAAUAGCGUAUAUUAAAGUUGUUGCAGUUAAAAAGCCCGUAGUUGAAUUUCGGGGUCAGUAGGUCGGUCGUGCCACUGGUAUGAACUGGUUUUACUGAUUCCUCCCUCUUGAAGAACUGUAAUGCCAUUAAUUUGGUGUUGCAGGGAAUCAGGACUGUUACUUUGAAAAAAUUGAGUGUUUAAAGCAGGCUUUAGCUUGAAUACAUUAGCAUGGAAUAAUGAAAUAGGACGUUUGAUCCUAUUUUGUUGGUUUCUAGGAUUGACGUAAUGAUUAAUAGGGAUAGUUGGGGGCAUUAGUAUUCAAUUGUCAGAGGUGAAAUUCUUGGAUUUAUUGAAGACUAAUACUGCGAAAGCAUUUGCCAAGGAUGUUUUCAUUUAAUCAAGAACGAAAGUUAGGGGAUCGUAAGACGAUCAGAUACCGUCGUAGUCUUAACCAUAACUAUGCCGAUAGGGAUCGGAUGAAUGUUUAACUUUUUAAUGUAACUCAGUUCGGCGUACCUUACGGGAAACCAAAGGUUGGUUUAC
rnacentral:rRNA from 1 species